ACUGGCAAGGAGGUGGUAGCAGGAAAUAGGCAUGUGGUGACUUCAGUAACAGAGACGACUGCAGGGCUGACCUAAGCUUAGUAGCCUGGCUUCUCCGGGAGCUGAGGGUGAGCAUCAUGCCUGCUCCAUCUCCCUCUUUGUUGUGGAUAAGGCAGGGUCAUCAAGACAGGAGGAUAUGAGGCAGAAUCACCACACAAGCUAACCUGAUGUACAUAUGACAUUAAUCCAAUAGACUUAGGAAUAAGAUACAGGGGGUUUUCCUGAAUGAUUCGAGUAUAUCCCCAUUCAUAUUAAGAAAACAAAGUAUUGGCCAAGCGUGGUGGCUCACGCCUGUAAUCCCGGCACUUUGGAAGGCCGAGGCCAGUGGAUCACCUGAGAGCCUGCCUGGAGCAACCAGAUGGACUCAACGACUCUCUUACCGUCCAGCUCUCAAGUCCCUUCUCUUGUGAAAAUGGAAAAGUUGAACUACAGUUGAGAUAUUAUUCCCAGGUGUUCUUUGGAACACAGGGGAUUUCUCCAAAAGGCACAGAACAAAUUGCCUCCAAACAGCCAAGAUUCCAGCAGAAGCUGGAGUAGCAGACUACUUGGAUCUUCAAAGUACCUGGCCCUGAGUCAGUUAAGGAAGAUCUUUUCUUCUCUUUUGUACAAUCCUAUGAUGAGAGCUGCAAAGUGAACUGACUAAGAGCUUCUGCCUUGAUCAUUGACCUCCCAAUCCUAAUAAUAUGUUCACUGGCCAAACUUCCUAAUCGAUUUGUCUUUUGGAUAUAACGUUCCUCCUACUGUUUGCCUGAUUGAGAAAUCUGCUACAGAACAUGACCGGUUAGCAUUCCCACCAACCCCAGUGCUACACUGACUGUCUUUCGAUGGACUUUGCUCCUUGCUGCCUCUCUGAGGUCCCAGACCUUCAGAGUGACCUUCACAGCUCUGCCUAACUUUCUGUCAUACUUCUAUCAAGAGAGACAGCUAAAUCAAUAUUUUUAAUGUGCUUUGCUGUCGGAAUUCGAUGAUCUGUCACAGUUCUUGCCCAAUACACCCCAUCAUUAUUGUUAAAAUGUUUUUAGCUUUGUUUGUAGAAUUGCUUUAACUGGUUUCAUCUCUGGGAGCUACACUUUGAAAUAUAACUUUAGCAACAUUUUACUAUACUUUUUCACAACCCAGAGCAGUACUAUUUUAUGCUUAGUGGUUAAACUAAUUCCAUAAAUCUUUUGCAACUAUCCUCUAUUCUUUUUCUUGUAAUUUUUACCUGGGAAGGUUUUUACUGAUAAUCAUCCUAUCCUGAGUCAUCCCACAAACCAAUCUGUCUCACUAAUCAUUGCUUCUAACCUACAGACUAAGCAUAACUUCUGCUAAAUGAUCUUUGAUAAGAUGCUAUGACUCUAUAAAGUCUUUGAUAUUCAUGUCUAAAUUUAAUCACUUGUAGAUUUUCAUAGAAUCAAUCUUUCACUUCUACAAUUGGGAGUAUUUAUAAGUUGUUUAUCUUAAACAGUUCCUCUAUCACGCUUUUCACGUUAAAUAAAGCAAUCCCUUCAAAUCAA
ensembl:lncRNA novel transcript